GCCCGGUGUCAGCCCUGGAAGGCAGUCCUUGCGGCCUAACUCGGCCUUGGAGACGUGGACUUAAAAGCAGCUUGUUUUCAGCCAAGAAGCAGAAUGAACGGCUCCAUUGGCGGGUGCUUUACUUGUGCAGCCUGGACACGGGGAAGGACAGAGCGUACAUGGCAACGGUUUCGAGCCCCUAAAACGAUUCACAGCUCCCAAUAUCCAACCACCCGGGAGCCAUGCAGCUGAAAGAGAGAGACUGACCCCGCGGCACACAUCCCACCUAAAUCAGCUUCCUCAGUCCCGUCAGCACAUGACCCCUGAGUGCCCAGUGCCCGAAGCUGCAACGGUUUCACACCAGGCGAGAGCGUACGGGCCCCUAGCAAGGAGGGGACGUCGGGAAACGCACCUGCAACGGGUGUGCACGCAAACCUGCACCUCUGACCUGGGAAGAAGCAGCCGCUACAUUUAAAAGGAAAGAAUUCUUUUU